CGGAAGUGAUCACUGUGGCUGGCGUCCGGAAGCAAGGGCAAAGAGUGAUACACAUAACUGGGAAGACACACCCAUCUUAGUCCUUCCCUACAUCAUCAGCCGGGCUAUUAGAGCAACUCGUUCUCCUUCAUUCACCCUAUAGAAGACCCAGGCUGGGGUGGAAGGGAGAUCUGAGUUGUAAAGUCGUUUAUAAUAUAGUCAUCAGGGUCUCAAUGAACAAGCACCACAGAGACUCUAUCAAGAAGUGUAUCUGUCUCCAGAGAACUGUGCUUCUGGUCGUCUACUGACAAGGGGAAGAAGCUGAGGAGGUGAUGUUACCAGAGCUACUUUGCUGGCAUUGGUGAGGAUUCCCAGGAAGGCUUCAGGGUGUUGCCAUGCAGUCCAGAGGCUACUGUCCUCACGUUGAGACUCCCACCAGAGAUACAUCUGCCUGAUUUCUCCUCAUCCUGCAUCAUUCAUGAGGCAAGACCCAGCAACCUCUGCUCACAGGACUGCUUUCCUGUCUUGUAAAGACAACACCUCCAUCUUCCGAAGACAAAGGACAAUCAGUCACACGUUGGAUUCCUGGAGUGUUGUGAUAUGGAUUGAGCAUACUCCGUUCAGAGACGCUGAAUGAUCAAUGGAAUAUUUUU
rnacentral:sRNA from 1 species